rnacentral:lncRNA from 1 species
AUCCAGCCCUGCCUCAGCCUUGACAGAGUUCAGGAGCCAGAUCCCUGCAUUGCAGCCUGGCUUCCUUCUCCAGGCAGAACGUGAGUAAAGGUUAAACAUUCCUGGGUGCUAGGUACAUAGUGGUGCCCUUCCUACUUCAUUAGGAUAAAAAGGUAACUUGUCUGAGCUCUACUAGUGCUGGGCUUUAAGAACCUGAUUUCCUUUCUUUUUUUCUUCUUCUUUUUUUAAAUCAGUUGGUUUAAUUCCAGGUGAUACAUAAUUUAGAGUAGAACAAAGACCAAAGGGCCAACUCUGGUAGGAUUCUGGGCUGGGAGAUGAUAAGCCACUGUAUGAUUUUUCUUUUUUUUCUUUA